CGGGACGUAGCGCAGCCCGGUAGCGCACCACGUUCGGGACGUGGGGGUCGCUGGUUCGAAUCCAGUCGUCCCGACUA
rnacentral:tRNA from 1 species